rnacentral:lncRNA from 1 species
CUUGUCUCUACUAAAAACACAAAAAAUUAACCCAGGUAUGGUGGCAUGCACCUGUAGUCCCAGCUACUCGGGAGGCUGAGGCAGGAGAAUCGCUUGAACCAGGGAGGUGGAGGUUGCAGUGAGCUGAGAUUGCGCCACUGCACUCCAGCCUGGGUGACAGAGACUCUGUCUCAAAAAAAAAAAAAAAAAGAAAAAGAAAAAUUAGAUGGGUGUGGUGGCAUGUGCCUGUAAUCCCAGCUACUGGGGAGCCUGAGGCAGGAGAAUCGCUUGAACCUGGGAGGCAGAGGUUACAGUGAGCCAAGAUUGCACCACUGCAGUCUGCCUGGGUGACAGAGCUAGACUCUGUCUCAAAAACAGAAAAACAAAAAAACAACUUUCCAGUGGCUUCUCACUGCUCUGAGAAUAAACUCCAGGCUCUUCCAUUGCAACCAACAGGAUCUGGUGAUUCGACCCCAGCCCCUCUUUCCAGGCCCUCAUCACCUUGAUCCUCCCUUAACCUAUCCUGCUCCAGCUGCACUGGCUGCCUUCCUAUUCCUCCAGCAUACCAAGAUUGUUUCUGCCACAGGGCCUUUGCAUCUGCUGUUCUCUUCGCCUGGACACCUCUUGGUUCUUUUUUUUUUUGUUCUUUGAGAUGGAGUCUCACUCUGUCGCCCAGGCUGAAGUGCAGUGGCGCGAUCUCGGCUCACUGCAAGCUCCGUCUCCCAGGUUCAUGCCAUUCUCCUGCCUCAGCCUUCCGAGUAGCUGGGACUACAGGCAUCCGCCACCACGCCCGGCUAAUUUUUUUGUAUUUUUAGUAGAGACGGUUUCACCGUCUUAGCCAGGAUGGUCUCGAUCUCCUGACCUCGUGAUCCGCCCGCCUGGGCCUCCCAAAGUGCUGGGAUUACAGGUGUGAGCCACCGUACCCGGCCAUAGAGCAGCCUCUUCCUUUUCCUGUUGGGUCUCUGCUCAAAUGUCAUGUCAGAGAGGCAGACCUCUGGGGCGGUCUAUCUGAGGGAAUGCACCCAUCUCCCUUCCUCUGACCAGUUAGUUACCUUGCUUAUUCUUUCAAAGCUCUUACCACCACCUGAAGUCAUCUAUCUGGUUUGGUUAUUUUAUUGUUUAGUAGCAGUCUUUAUUUUAUUAUCAUUAUUAUUUUUUGAUGGAGUCUCACUCUGUUGCCCAGGCUGGAGUGCAGUAGCAUGAUCUCGGCUCACCAGAACCUCUGCCUCCCAGGUUCAAGCGAUUCUCCUGCCUUAGCUUCCUGAGUAGCUGGGACUACAGGCACGUGCCACCAUGCCCAGCUGAUUUUUGUACUUUUAGUAGAAACGGGGUUUCACUAUGUUGGCUGGUCUUGAACUCCUGACAUCAAGUGAUCCGCCCACCUCGGCCUCCCAAAGUACUGGGAUUACAGGCAUGAGCCACCACGCCAGGCUGGUAGCAGUCUUUCCUAGAAUGUGGAUGCCUUGGAAAACAGGGGCUCUGCCUUGUUUCCCUAGAACCUAGAAUGGCAUCUGGCACACAGCAGAUGCUACAUCUAUUGUAAAUGAAUGAAUGAAAGAAGUGUCCUUGCAGCCACACUGGCAGCCGUAACAUAGUGGUUAUAAAUCUAGACUCUGGAGUCUCAAGUGCAAAUGUCAUUGGCCUCUCCUCCAGCCUCCUCAAGGGGCACUCAAUGACUGGAAGUGCCCUGAUAUGACUGUGGUUGGACUGACAUGACUGCCAGAUGGUGGGACUUGGUCUGGAGCAGAGACUACUUGGAAUGGUAGAGGCAAAACUCAACAGCCCCUGGAGCUGCGCUUGUGGUGGAGCUGGACCCUGAUUUUAGCUGGACCUUGUUUUUAGAGACAGGGUUUCCUUCUGCAGUCUCAAUCUCCUAGCCUUGAUUGAUCCUCCUGCCUUGGCCUCCCAAAGUGCUGGGACUACAGGUGCAUGCAACCACACCUGGCUAAUUUUCUUCUCUUCUUUCUUUUCUUUUUUUUUUUUUUGAUGGAGUCUUGUUCUGUUGCCCAGGCUGGAGUGCAAUGGUGCCAUCUCGGCUCACUGCAACCUCUGCCUCCCGGGUUCAAUCCAUUCUCCUGCCUCAGCCUCCCAAGUAGCUGGGACUACAGGUGUGUGCCACCGUGCCUGGCUAAUUUUUGUAUUUUUAGUAGGGAUGAGACUUCACCAUGUUGGCCAGGCUGGUCUCGACCUCCUGACCUCAGGUGAUCCACCCACCUUGGCCUCCCAAAGUGCUGGGACUACAGGCACAUGCAACCACGUCUGGCUAAUUUUCUUGAGUUUUAGUAGAGACUGGGUCUCGUUAUGUUGUCCAGGCUGGUCCCGAGCUCCUGAGUUCAAUCGAUCUUCCUGCCUUGGUCUCCCAAAGUGCUGGGCCUACAGGCGUGAGCCACCAUCCCCAGCCCAAUUUUUGUAUAUUUUGUAGAGACACAGUCUUGCUAUGUUGUCCAGGCUGGUCUCAAACUCCUGGGCUCAAGGGAUCUUCUUGCCUUGGCCUCCCGGAGCACUUAAUUACAGGAAUGACUGCAUGUGCUGUUGUGCCUAUACUUUCUGGAGAUACGUUGUUAGGAAUUUAUGUAGUUGGCCGGGCACGGUGGCUCACGCCUGUAAUCCCAGCACUCUGGGAUGCCGAGGCAGGUGGAUCACCUGAGGUCAGGAGUUCGAGACCAGCCUGGUCAACAUGGUGAAACCCUGUCUCUACUAAUAAUACUAAAAUCAGAGGUUGCUUGCAGUGAGCCAAGAUCAUACCAUUGCACUGCAGCCUGGGCAACAGAGCGAGACUCUGUCUCAAAAAAAAAAAAAAAAGGAAUUUACAUAGUUGAACAACUAUUCUUUGGACAUCUUUUAGUCCAGUAGACGGUGUUAAACUUGAAGACAAAUAACGAUUUGACCUGUGAUAUUUGUUUUUCCCUCUUAUCUUCUAAGCCCAUUCAUCCAGAUCAUUCAUCACCUUUAAAGGCAUCCCCAGAGGGAGGCAGGUCUGGACAGAGCUGAAGAUUGCACAGGCCAUUUGCAGGCUGGAUUAGUUCUGUGGUGACCCACCUGUCUGACUCGAGUUAUUUUUUUCCCAUGUCUGGACAAGACUGACCUCUGCCCAGCAACUCAGGCCUGGAUUUAGUCCAAGGGCCCUCAGUGGCUUUUUUGUUUGUUUGUUUUUUCAGGAAGUGAAGAAUUUAGAGGGAUAAAAGGCGGAAAUAACUUUUCAGCCUCUGACCUUUGUAACAAUCUAGUUUCCUUUUAAAGGAGCAUUGUUUGGGCCUGGGGCCACCUAGACCUUCUGAUGCUCUUUCCCCACCCUUGGAGGAGGAGGAAAGGAAGAAAAUGGGCCCUGAGCGAUCACCACAUACCAGGCCCUGGGGGUCUAGUGGCGAAGGAGGCAGGUAGGGUCUCUUGCUUUCAUGGAGCUUCUAGUCAAGCGAGACGCACUAAACAGUAAAGGGACAAAUAGGAUUACUGGAGGUAGCCCUAACUACUGGGACAGAAACAAGAUGGUAAGAUAGAGAAGGAAGAGUGGCCUGCUCAGAUGGGGUGGUCCAGAGGCCUCUCGGGGGAGGUGACUCCUUUUUAUUUUAUUUUUUUUGAGAUGGAAUCUAGCUCUGUCGCCCAGCCUGAAGUGCAGUCGUGUGUUUCAUGCGCGUCCGUGUGAAGAGACCACCAAACAGGCUUUGUGUGAGCAACAUGGCUGUUUAUUUCACCUGGGUGCAGGCGGGCUGAGUCCGAAAAGAGAGUCAGCAAAGGGUGGUGGAUUAUCAUUAGUUCUUACAGGUUUUGGGAUAGGGGGUGAAGAGCCAUGUUUUGCAGGCAGGGGUGGAUCUCACAAAGUACAUUCUCAAGGGUGGGGAGAAUUACAAAGAACCUUCUUAAGGGUUGGGGAGAUUACAAAGUACCUUCUUAAGGGUGGGGGAGAUUACAAAGUACAUUGAAGAGUUAGGGUGGGGCAGAAACAAAUCACAAUGGUGGAAUGUCAUCAGUUAAGGCUAUUUUUACUUCUUGUGUGGAUCUUCAGUUACUUCAGGCCAUCUGGAUGUAUACGUGCAAGUCACAGGGGAUGCAAUGGCUUGGCUUGGGCUCAGAGGCCUGACAGUGUGAUCUUGGCUCACUGCAAACUCUGCCUCCUGGGUUCAAGCAAUUUUUGUGCCUCAGCUUCCCGAGUAGCUGGGAUUACAGGUGCCCGCCACCAUGCCCAGCUAAUUUUUGUAUUUUUAGUAGAGACAUAGAGUUUCACCAGAUUGGCCAGGCUGGUCUCGAACUCCUGUCUCACGUGUCUGUGUGAAGAGACCACCAAACAUGCUUUGUGUGAGCAACAUGGCUGUUUAUUUCACCUGGGUGCAGGCGGGCUGAGUCCGAAAAAGGAGUCAACAAAGGGUGGUGUGAUUAUCACUGGUUCUUAUAGAUUUGGGGAUAGGCGGUGGAGUUAAGAGCAGUGUUUUGGGGGCAGGAGGUGGAUCUCAUAAAGUACAUUGUCAAAGGUGAGGAGAAUUACAAAGAAACUUCUUAAGGGUGGGGGAGAUGAUAAAGAACCUUCUUAAGAGUGGGGCAGAUUACAAAGUACAUUGAUCAGUUAGGGUGGGGCAGAAACAAAUGACAAUGGUGGAAUGUCUUCAGUUAAGGCUGUUUUCACUUCUGUGGAUCUUCAGUUGCUUCAGGCCAUCUGGAUGUAUACGUGCAGGUCACUGGGAUAUGAUGGCUUAGCUUGGACUCAGAGGCCUGACAUUCCUGUCUUCUUAUGUUAAUAAGAAAAAUAAAACAAAAUAGUGGUAAAGUGUUGGGGUGGCGAAAAUUUUUGGGGGUGAUAUGGAGAGAUAAUGGGCGAUGUUUCUCAGGGCUGCUUCGAGUGGGAUUAGGGGCGGCAUGGGAACCUACAGUGGGAGAGAUUCAACUGAAGAAAGAUUUUGGGGUAAGGGCUGAUACUGUGGGGUUGUUAGAAGGAGCAUUUGUCAUAUAGAAUUAUUGGUGAUGGCCUGAAUAUGGUUUUGUAUGAAUUGAGAAACUAAACAGAAGACACACGGUCCGAAUAAGAGAAGGAGAAAAACAGGUAUUAAAGGACUAAGAAUUGGGAGGACCCAGGACAUCCAAUUAAGAGAGUGCCCAAGGGGGUUCAGCAUAAUUAUUUGCUUGGUUGGCAAGUUUUUGGACUCUAUCCUUGAGUUUUUUUAUGUUGUCAUAUACCAGGCCAGAUUGAUUUAGGUAAAAACAACACUCUUCAUUUAAAAAUAUACAGAGUCGUCCUUUUUCAGCAAUGAGUAAAUUGAGGCCUUGGCGAUUUUGGAGGAAAGAGAAUUGCAAAGCCAGCAAUUGUUUCUUUUUUUAUUUAUUUAUUUACUUAUUUUUUUAAAUUAUACUUUAAGUUAUAGGGUACAUGUACACAAUGUGCAGGUUUGUUACAUAUGUAUACAUGUGCCAUGUUGGUGUACUGCACCCAUUAACUCGUCAUUUACAUUAGGUGUAUCUCCUACUGCUAUCCCUUCCCCCUCCCCCACCACACAAGAGGCCCCAGUGUGUGAUGUUCCCCUUCCUGUGUCCAAGUGUUCUCAUUGUUCAAUUCCCAUCUGUGAGUGAGAACAUGCGGUGUUUGGUUUUUUGUCCUUGUGAUAGUUUGCUGAGAGUGAUCGUUUCCAGCUUCAUCCAUGUCUCUACAAAGGACAUGAACUCAUCCUUUUUUAUGGCUGCAUAGUACUCCAUGGUGUAUCUGUGCCACAUUUUCUUAAUCCAGUCUAUCAUUGAUGGACAUUUGUGUUGGUUCCAAGUCUUCACUAUCGUGAAUAUUGCCGCGAUAAACAUAUGUGUGCAUGUGUCUUUAUAGCAGCAUGAUUUAUAAUCCUUUGGGUAUGUAUCCAGUAAUGGGAUGGCUGGGUCAAAUGGUAUUUCUAGUUCUAGAUCCCUGAGGAAUCGCCACACUGUCUUCCACAAUGGUUGAACCAGUUUACAGUCCCACCAACAGUGUAAAAGUGUUCCUAUUUCUCCACAUCCUCUCCAGCACCUGUUGUUUCCUGACUUUUUAAUGAUCGCCAUUCUAACUGGUGUGAGAUGAUAUCUCAUUGCGGUUUUGAUUUGCAUUUCUCUGAUGGCCAGUGAUGAUGAGCAUUUUUUCAUGUGUCUGUUGGCUGCAUAAAUGUCUUCUUUUGAGAAGUGUCUGUUCAUAUGCUUUGCCCACUUUUUGAUGGGGUUUGUUUUUUUUCUUGUAAAUUUGUUGGUGUUCUUUGUAGAUUCUGGAUAUUAGCCUUUUGUCAGAUAAGUAGAUGGCAAAAAUUUUCUCCCAUUCUCUAGGUUGCCUGUUCACACUGAUCCUAGUUUCUUUUGCUGUGCAGAAGCUCUUUAGUUUAAUUAGAUCCCAUUUGUCAGUUUUGGCUUCUGUUGCCAUUGCUUUUGGUGUUUUAGACAUGAAGUCCUUGCCCAUCCCUAUGUCCUGAAUGGUAUUGCCUAGGUUUUCUUCUAGGGUUUUUACGGCUUUAGGUCUAACAUUUAAGUCUUUAAUCCAUCUUGAAUUAAUUUUUGUAUAAGGUGUAAGGAAGGGAUCCAGUUUCAGCUUUCUACAUAGGGCUAGCCAGUUUUCCCAGCACUAUUUAUUAAGUAGGGAAUCCUUUCCGCAUUUCUUGUUUUUGUCAGGUUUGUCAAAGAUCAGAUGGUUGUAGAUGUGUGGUAUUAUUUCUGAGGGCUCUGUUCUGUUCCAUUGGUCUAUAUGUCUGUUUUGGUACCAGUACCAGGCUGUUUUGGUUACUGUAGCCUUGUAGUAUAGUUUGAAGUCAGGUAGCAUGAUGCCUCCAGCUUUGUUCAUUGGGCUUAGGAUUGUCUUGGCAAUGCGGGCUCUUUUUUGGUUCCAUAUGAACAUUAAAGUAGUCUUUUGCAACUCUCAUCAGCCCAGUUUAAUAUUACCUAUUUAUUAUAAUGUAAUGCUGCUCGCACAACUGAGAAAAUACUGUUGCUUUACCCCCUCCAGCUCUGUAGCAGCCACGCAGAAAUCAUAGAACUGUAAACAUAUGCUAAUUACACAACCUAUGUAGGCAAUCAAUAUUAAGAAAAAUUUUUACUGCCCGGUAUUUCUGUGGUUGAAAAUGUAGAGUCUAAUUUUGAUCCGCAGUAACAUCUAGGUUAAUGUUGAUUCAGAAGGAAAACGUUUGUUGUUGCCAUGAGAAGAGGCAUUGAAAUGCUGAAUCACCACCACAAAUGUUACCACUAUUAAUAUAAGGAGAUACAUAGGAAGAUGGAAUUAGACCAUCUCGGACCACCAGGUUUACAAUUCCACCUGCAGAUACAUGCAAGAAGUAUUGUCACAAUACUUAUGUCACGUUAUUCCGUUGAGGUCAUCACCAACUAAGCUUAUAAUUAAUGUGUGGUCAAUUUGGUCAAUGUCACCAGCGUAGCAUACUAACAAAAACAAGGGUUGCAAAGUCAAAUGCCUAUAAGGCAGAACGUAAGACGGUAGGAAGCAAAGUCUAUAGGGAGCUAUAUAAUAGAGGCUGCAGAUUCAUGGCAGAUUCUAAAGCACAGCAGUCCCCAACAUUUUUGGCACCAGGGACCGGCUUUGUGGAAGACAAUUUUUCCACAGGCGGCAAGGGAUGGGGCGCAGGAUGGUAAUGGUCUUGGGAUGAAACUGUUCCACCACAAAUCAUCAGGAAUUAGAUUCUCAUAAGGAAUAUGCAACCUGGAUCCCUCGUGUGUGCAAUUCACAACAGGGUUCAUGCUCCUGUAAGAAUCUAAUGAUGCUGCUGAUCUGACAGGAGGCAGAGCUCAGGCAGCAAUGCAAGCAAUGGGGAGCAGCCAGAAAUACAGACGAAGCUUCAAUUGUUACCCACCAUUCACCUCCUGCUCUGUGGCCCAGUUCCUAACAGGCCACAGACCAGUACAUGUCCAUGGCCCAGGGGUCAGGCACCCCUGCUGUGGCACAUUGCUUAAUAGAGGACUGUAGCAGCCAUGUGCCCUGACCUUUCCUUUUUUUUUUUUUUUUU